AGGCUUAACACAUGCAAGUCGAGGGGCAGCACGGUGUAGCGAUACACUGGUGGCGACCGGCGCACGGGUGAGUAACACGUGUGCAACCAACCCCGUACCGGGAGAUAACCCGCGGAAACGUGGACUAACAUCCCAUGACACCUUUUCCCCGCAUGGGGGAGAGUUUAAAACCCCGGUGGUACGGGACGGGCACGCGCGACAUUAGGUAGUUGGCGGGGUAAGGGCCCACCAAGCCGACGAUGUCUAGGGGUUCUGAGAGGAAGGUCCCCCACACUGGAACUGAGACACGGUCCAGACUCCUACGGGAGGCAGCAGUGAGGAAUAUUGGUCAAUGGGCGAGAGCCUGAACCAGCCAAGUCGCGUGAGGGAUGAAUGGUCUAUGGCCUGUAAACCUCUUUUGUCAAGGAAGAAUAAAUCGCACGGGUGCGAUCUUGCCAGUACUUGACGAAUAAGCAUCGGCUAACUCCGUGCCAGCAGCCGCGGUAAUACGGGGGAUGCGAGCGUUAUCCGGAUUUAUUGGGUUUAAAGGGCGCGUAGGCGGGACGUCAAGUCAGCGGUAAAAGACUGCAGCUAAACUGUAGCACGCCGUUGAAACUGGCGCCCUCGAGACGAGACGAGGGAGGCGGAACAAGUGAAGUAGCGGUGAAAUGCAUAGAUAUCACUUGGAACCCCGAUAGCGAAGGCAGCUUCCCAGGCUCGAUCUGACGCUGAUGCGCGAGAGCGUGGGUAGCGAACAGGAUUAGAUACCCUGGUAGUCCACGCCGUAAACGAUGCUCACUGGAUCUUGGCGAUACACAGCCAGGGUUCAAGCGAAAGUAUUAAGUGAGCCACCUGGGGAGUACGUCGGCAACGAUGAAACUCAAAGGAAUUGACGGGGGCCCGCACAAGCGGAGGAACAUGUGGUUUAAUUCGAUGAUACGCGAGGAACCUUACCCGGGUUUAAAUGUAGAUUGCAUGAGGUGGAAACACUUCUUCCCUUCGGGGCUAUUUACAAGGUGCUGCAUGGUUGUCGUCAGCUCGUGCCGUGAGGUGUCGGGUUAAGUCCCAUAACGAGCGCAACCCCUAUCGCCAGUUGCCAUCGGUUCAAGCCGGGCACUCUGUCGAGACUGCCACCGUAAGGUGCGAGGAAGGCGGGGAUGACGUCAAAUCAGCACGGCCCUUACACCCGGGGCGCCACACGUGUUACGAUGGCCGGUACAGAGGGCAGCCACGGGGUGACCC
rnacentral:rRNA from 1 species